UACAAUAAAGAAACCCCAACCUUAAUCAAAUUUUCUUUUCUCCCUCUUCUUUCUCUUCUCCUCCCUCUAAACGGAGACCAACCCUCAACCAUCGUCUCUCUGUUUCUCCUUCCGACCAGCCAUUGUCUCUCUCUUCCUCCGCUCCCCAGCGACGACCAGCCCGAGGGACAAGAAAGACCAGAGCCAGAGAUGCAGCAUUGAACGCCAUUCAAUCUCCUUUACUAGACAUUGGCAUUGAGAGGGCUACUGGAAUUGUAUGGAAUAUAACUGACGGUAGUGAUCUAACAUUAUUUGAGAUGGCAUACGACCUUUCCUCCGAGCGCAACUAUCAUCGCCUCGAGUGUGGACUACAAGGAACUAUGCGCAUGUACGAGAAAAAAUAAAGCAUGGAGAGAAGAUUAGGACCGCACUUAAGAAUGACAUCGAGUCCCUCAAGGCUCAAGUGAACCACUUAUAAUCGGCUUGCCCCGCUCUCCGCCAAAAAGCCACACUUAUGAAGAGGAUGAAAGUGAUGGAAACAAUAUAAAUGAUGAAGAGAUGAGGGGGAAUCCGAAGAUGAGCAGUGAUUUUAUGUUUGGUUGGAUUGUUGUUUAGUUGGACGUUUACUUUGAAUAUUACAUUUUGAAGUUUGGUUGGGAUAGUUUUGAUGUUUGAUGGGAUAAUUUGGAUGUUUGGAUAGUUUAUUAAGUUUUAUUAUUAUUAAUUUGUGUUUUA